rnacentral:lncRNA from 1 species
GGCAAAUGCAGACUAUCUAAAAUUAAGGUUCAGUGAUGUGGGGCGCUAGCUGAGGAUUUCUUUUGUUUGUUUUGCUUUAAAACCACAGUCUUGCUCUACGAGAUUGUUAUCACAGAUCUAGCAAGAGGGCUGGUGGCUUUUAGUCACUGUAUCAAAUCUAUUCUACUCCUCCUGAUGAAGCUUGGAUGAAUACGUCCUCAUGGAAAGAACCGUCAAGGUGCAGAUUUUCAUGAAAAUCCCCCAAAUUCACAAACCAAAGCAACGCACACCUGUAUCCUAUAUUUCAAGGGGUUUUAUGGAUGGGACCUCGUUCAAAAUACUGUCAGGUAAGGUCGGCUUUGCUUUUAUUUUUUUGUAUCGCAAGGAAACUUAGAGAUUAGUGAUUUUCCAAAAGUCACAUGGCAGGUAAGUGACACAGCCAGGGCUUAAUUCCAAGUCUGCCUCAUUCCAAAAACAUGUGCUUCACAUGUCACUACUGUGGAACACAUGUCACUACUAUGGAACACAGGCACAAGCAAUGGGCUUUGUGGGUGUAGUGGCAGGAACAAUAGAUUCUGACUCUCAGGAUCAAAGGAACUGUCCCAGAGAGAUGCUAUUUGAACCAGGUGUUGAAUGGUGAGAAGGGUUUCCUUAGAGAAUUGGGAAAAGAAAAUGGGCAAAGGCUUAAAAGAAUAUCUGAGUGGUCUGGUACUCCCAGGUUAUGAGAGAGUUGUAGUGAUGAACAAGGCUGAAAGGGGAGUUAGGGAUAUAUCAUAAAAGUCUUGAAUACUUCAUUAAAAGAGCUGAAACUCUUUCCCACAGUGCUGGGAAGCCACUGAGUCUCUUUGAGGGAGGGAGCAAAUUCUCUCUGGGAGACACUUCUGUCAUCAGUGUGAAGAAUGAGUUUGAGCCAGAAGAUGAAAUCUUGAUACUUAAAGUUAGAUAGUAUUCUCUCCACCAGUAGAAAGAAAACGCAACCUUGUGGACACUGCCUGAACCCCAGUGGGAAAAGAGGCAGUCAGAAUGGGAAGCCAUGUUCCUGACUGCAAGACUAAUCCUUUCUCUCUUUGUUUUUCUCCCUCUUGCUCUGUGCAAGGUUGCUGAGCUGGACCUGCUCCAGACAUCUGGGAGGCAGGGAGCAGCACCCUGGGAACCCGUCCUCCUGGGUUUUAGGCAGCUGGACUCCAACUCCGAGUGACCUUGGGCAAGUCGUUCCUCCCCCUGGGCUGCGGGCACCUCCUCUGUAAUCUGGAAGCUCUGGCCUAAAUCUGUGAUUCUUCUCCCUACUCCCCAAACCGUCAGUCUCUUUAUUUAUGAAUUUUUAUUGUGGUAAAAUAUAUGUAUUAUCAUUUUAACCAGUUUCAAGUAUACAGCUCAGUGGCCUUAGGUACAUUCACAUUCUUGUGCAACCGUCACCACCCAUCUCCAGAACUUUUUCAUCUUCCCAAACUGAAACUCUGUACCCAUUAAACAAUAAUUACCCUCUGCCCCCUCUCCCCAGCCCCUGGCAACCAUCCUUCUUCCUGUCUCUAUGAAUUUGACCACUCUAGGUACCUAUAUAAGCGGAAUCAUACAGUGUUUGUCUUUUUUGACUGCCUUAUUUCACUUAGCAUAACAUCCUCAAGGUUCAUCCCUGUUGUAGCAUGUGUCAG